GACGAACGCUGGCGGCGUGCCUAAUACAUGCAAGUCGAACGCUUCUUUCCUCCCGAGUGCUUGCACUCAAUUGGAAAGAGGAGUGGCGGACGGGUGAGUAACACGUGGGUAACCUACCCAUCAGAGGGGGAUGACACUUGGAAACAGGUGCUAAUACCGCAUAACAGUUUAUGCCGCAUGGCAUAAGAGUGAAAGGCGCUUUCGGGGGUCGCUGAUGGAUGGACCCGCGGUGCAUUAGCUAGUUGGUGAGGUAACGGCUCACCAAGGCCACGAUGCAUAGCCGACCUGAGAGGGUGAUCGGCCACACUGGGACUGAGACACGGCCCAGACUCCUACGGGAGGCAGCAGUAGGGAAUCUUCGGCAAUGGACGAAAGUCUGACCGAGCAACGCCGCGUGAGUGAAGAAGGUUUUCGGAUCGUAAAACUCUGUUGUUAGAGAAGAACAAGGACGUUAGUAACUGAACGUCCCCUGACGGUAUCUAACCAGAAAGCCACGGCUAACUACGUG
rnacentral:rRNA from 1 species